GACGAACGCUGGCGGCGUGCUUAACACAUGCAAGUCGAGCGGAGCGGCGAACGGGUGAGUAACGCGUGAGUAACUGCCCCCCUCUCUGGGAUAACAGUUGGAAACGGCUGCUAAUACCGGAUAGUGGGGGAUGACUCGCGUCCUAUCAGCUUGUUGGUGGGGUAGUGGCCUACCAAGGCGACGACGGGUACCCGGCCUGGGAGGGCGACCGGCCACAUGGGGAUGAGGGACGGCCCAAAGUCCUACGGGAGGCAGCGGGGGGGAAUAUUGCGCAGUGGGGGAAACCCAGAUGAAGCAGGGCGCGUGCGGGAUGACGGCCUUCGGGUUGUAAACCGCUUUAAGCCAUGACGCGGUAGUGGCAGAAGAAGCACCGGCUAACUACGUGCCAGCCGCCGCGGUAAUAC
rnacentral:rRNA from 1 species